GGCAGCCAUAUCACCCUGAAGCUCAACACUGGUCACCCACUGAAGCUAAGCAGGGUUGAGCUGGUCAGUACCACCCUGUGGUCUGUGUGGGUCCUAACGCCCCAGUGUAGUGAUACUGCCA
rnacentral:rRNA from 1 species